GUGUGUAUUGUGGAUGUACUUCAUCCUUGGGUACUUCUGAUUGAGGAUCUUCUUGUGGUCCAACCACAGAUAUUUCUAAAUCGAUUUGUAGAUCCUGAGCUUCCAUAAGUUUAAUAUUCCUCCCAUUACCUCUUUCUUGGAUGAAUUCAUUUUACAAAAAAAUGGCAUGCCUACUAACAAAUACCUUUUGUUCAGUAGGGUAGUAGAUGUAGUAUCCAUUAGUUUCCUUAGGAUACCCUAUAAAUCUAUACCUGUC
rnacentral:lncRNA from 1 species